UUUAUUUGCUUUGUAGGUGGUGCAGUAUUCUAGUCAAUUCUACUCAUUUUGAGGGCGGGCCUAAAAAUUCGCAUAAGGGCAUAUCGAUGAAGUUCCUUGUGCCAGCUUUUGACGCCCAGUCGGGGGUUGGUGCUGGGAGUAAGGAGGAUAGGGCAUCUUGCAAUGGCAUGCAAUGCAUGACCCUACUUCCGUGGAGGCCCAAGUUCGUAGAUUUUCUACGGCUUGGGGUGAAACCUGCAGUGUGGUACAUUUGUUGCUAUAUGCAGUGUAGCCUGCCUUGAGUGUAAUAGGGGGAAUAGGGUCAAAUCCCGAAAUAUGGGCCAAUAUGAAGGAUUAUUGCUGUAUGAAACCUAUUAUGCAAAAGAGGCUAAAAAUGAGUACGGUUGCUGGGGAAAUCUCCUAGACUGUUCUAUCAUGAAGCACAUUGGGGAUUGCAGUGUGGACUAAGUGGUAAUCCAGCCCUGCUGAUGGUAACACAGCAGGUACCGGGCUAAUGGGAAACCGCUGGAAUGGCGACAUUUCAGUGCCUGGUACGGGAAAUCCUGCUGGACCUAAGCCGCAAACUUUACUCAAUGUGUUGCCACCUAUACUACAUAAUAU
rnacentral:sRNA from 1 species